AGCAAUCUAUACUGUGAAACUGCGAAUGGCUCAUUAAAUCAGUUAUCGUUUAUUUGAUAGUACCUUACUACAUGGAUACCUGUGGUAAUUCUAGAGCUAAUACAUGCUAAAAACCCCGACUUCGGGAGGGGUGUAUUUAUUAGAUAAAAAACCAAUGCCCCUCGGGGCUCCUUGGUGAAUCAUAAUAACUUAACGAAUCGCAUGGCCUUGCGCCGGCGAUGGUUCAUUCAAAUUUCUGCCCUAUCAACUUUCGAUGGUAGGAUAGUGGCCUACCAUGGUGGCAACGGGUAACCGGGGAAUAA
rnacentral:rRNA from 1 species